GAUGAACGCUGGCGGCGUGCCUAAUACAUGCAAGUCGAGCGAACAGACGAGGAGCUUGCUCCUCUGACGUUAGCGGCGGACGGGUGAGUAACACGUGGAUAACCUACCUAUAAGACUGGGAUAACUUCGGGAAACCGGAGCUAAUACCGGAUAAUAUAUUGAACCGCAUGGUUCAUUAGUGAAAGACGGUUUUGCUGUCACUUAUAGAUGGAUCCGCGCCGCAUUAGCUAGUUGGUAAGGUAACGGCUUACCAAGGCAACGAUGCGUAGCCGACCUGAGAGGGUGAUCGGCCACACUGGAACUGAGACACGGUCCAGACUCCUACGGGAGGCAGCAGUAGGGAAUAUUCCGCAAUGGGCGAAAGCUUGACGGAGCAAUGCCGCGCGAGUGAUGAAGGUCUUCGGAUCGUAAAACUCUGUUAUUAGGGAAGAACAAAUGUGUAAGUAACUAUGCACGUCUUGACGGUACCUAAUCAGAAAGCCACGGCUAACUACGUG
rnacentral:rRNA from 1 species